rnacentral:miRNA from 10 species
UAUCUACGGCCGUACCACCCUGAACACGCCCGAUCUCGUCUGAUCUCAGAAGCUAAGCAGGGUCGGGCCUGGUUAGUACUUGGAUGGG